rnacentral:rRNA from 1 species
UUGGCUCAGGAUGAACGCUGGCGGCGUGCCUAAUACAUGCAAGUCGAACGAGGCUCUUCGGAGCCGAGUGGCGUACGGGUGAGUAACACGUUGGUAACCUGCCCUCCAGACCGGAAUACCAGAGAGAAAUCUCUGCUAAUGCCGGAUGACGUCAUAUGGUCGCAAGACCACUUGACCAAAGGCGGCAACUGCCGCGCUGAAGGAUGGACCUGCGUCGCAUUAGCUAGUUGGCGGGAUAAUGGCCCACCAAGGCGAGGAUGCGUAGCCGAGCUGAGAGGCUAAACGGCCACAUUGGGACUGAGACACGGCCCAGACUCCUACGGGAGGCAGCAGUGGGGAAUA